GGGAUUAGCUGGUGCUCGUACACGUCCUGCGGAAGUCGUCCGAUAUACACCUCGGACCCUGACGGUGGCGGGCUGCCCACCCAGCCUGGAGGGAAAGGAUUUUGUUGGUUACUGUGGUCCACAAGGAUGUUUUUAAGCUCCAGGAUAAAGCUGGGGGGGGGGGGUAGGGGUGGGGAUGGGAGGGAGACCAUCUGGAAAUAUUGAUACCUUUCUGGCUCCUGGGGGUCGUUACCAUAAUUGGACUAGACUAUAAACAACUAGGCUGGCACCAUCCUUGAAGGCCAGUGUGGAAGGGAGGCCAGACAAAUAGCCACAUCUAGUAGAGAGUACGUCAGGUAAUUUGGGUUUUCUGACUUUGGAUCCUAUCUAUAAAGAGUGGCCGAGGAUGGCCUAGUGUCACAGGGGCUGGGGCUACUGUACCUGGGGGUGGCCCUCCAUACUUCCUUUGCCCGUUGACCUGCACCAGGCGGAUGCCAGUCUCCCUUACCCACGCCUCCAGGGCUGCCUUGUUCUCUGGAUUCACCCUCUCACACCAUUGCUGGGGGAGAAAGGUCUUCUCUUCGGACAUCCACCUGGCCACAACAGAGGAAGAAGGUUUGAAUAUCUUCCUCUUAGCUGUUCCCUGAGUGCCUACUUCUAGUUACCAGGUUUGGUUCACUGGGACAUGUGCCCAGUUAGGCACCCCAGAGAUCUUAAAUGCCACAAUUAUAGUUAAAGCCUAAGCCCUCGGGUUCCUUAUAAGCUAGUCCUAUAGGAGGCUCAGGUCUCAAACAGGCCUGGGCCAGCCAGCGUCUGACGCCCUCCUCACCUCCUCUCUGCUGGCCACCGAGCGGAGCUUGAUGACGCCAUCCUUGAGUUCCUGCUCACCAAUGAUGGCCACCAGUGGGAUGCCUGCCUCCUCACAGUACUGCAACUGGUUUAGUAACUUCGGGUUCUUCUUGUACAGCAGCUCAGCCUGCAAAAUGACCAAGGAAGAAAACAAAGGCUUCUGUUGUUCUCAGAGACAAACUCUGGAGGAGGGGGGAGGAUGCAGCAGGCACCUUGUUGUUCUUUUAAGUGUCUUUAUUCUCCAGCUCUGAAAAAGUACUUUCAUUUUCAUUUCUAUAAAUUACUAAAUCCUGUUCACAAUACUAUAAAGCAGAAUCUCAAUAACAUAAUGUAUGUAUAGUAUUG
rnacentral:lncRNA from 1 species